CCUUCUAUACCCCCUUUGCUAGAGUCAGCAUCACCAAUGAAGAGUUUACAAAAGCUUAGAUUUUUCCUUUUUUUUUCAGUUAUCCCAAUGAAUUGUUGUUUUUUUGGUUAAAUCGAUUGCAGAAUCGAAGCUUUGCAUGAAGUUUAUUAAACCAGUAUUUGAUUGAGAAUAGAACAUUAUUGUCUCAGGUCCACUGUUAUUGGCUUUUAUUGAAAGAAGAUAAGGAUUUACAGUUUAAUGUGACUGUAAAGAUUCUAAUGAUGCUCAAGUGGAUUUAAAUGGAUCAUAACCUGCUUAAUUAAGUUCAAAAGUUGUUCUCUAACAUGUCGUCAAAGCCUCAAAGGUGUGUAUGGAUGUACAUUUAGGAUCAAAAUAGCCAAAAGUACCGAUAACUCAGGAAUUGACUGGUGUGGGUGGAUAGUAAUGAUUUGUCAUAGCAUGAGCUGGCUUCAUUUGGAGAAACCUGUUUCUUUUAGGUCUCUCAUAUUGACGUGAAUCAAGAUGGGAUCACAAUUAGAAUUUGAUAUUAGUCCUGACACAUUCAUAAAUUUAUUAUUGAUAGUUUCUAAUCUAGAAUAAGAUAUAGAAAGACGAAUGUUUCCAAUAAUGAACUGUAUUUGUAAUCGGUUUCACAUAUAAGAAAAUGAUCAUAGGCUACGAAGAACAGAGUAAUAGUUCUAAACAGGAUCAUUAAUAUUCCCCUCUUGGCCGUCAUUUUUCAGCAAAGGAGCCCUUUGAUCAGUGUUAUCUCCAUUAAUGCCUUCCUCCAUCACCUUCUUCCUCUCAUUUGCUUUUCCCCACAUGACAGAAUAGAAUCCUAUGACUGUAAUUAUUGAACCCACCAAACUGCAAAAAAAAUGUAGUAGAAUUGAAAAAAGAUGAAACAGUCAAUGUAGAAGAACAUAUAUGUAGAGUACCUUCCCAGGUGUAGGGUGUCACCCAAGAAUAUAAUAUCUACAAAAGCUGAAAUUAUGAUUCCAAGAGGAUGAAACACACAAAUAAACACAGGUCCCUUCUGGUGCAGACACCACACAACAACACUCAUUUGGACCACACACCCAAAGAUUCCCUGUACUUCCCAGAAAAAGUAAUUAGAAUAAGAUGAGAAAUGCAUCACUAGAUUUGGUGAAUGCUUCUUACAGAGUAAAGAAUAGAAACUAGUUUCUCAGUAGACCACAAGCUCCAUCCUUCCAAGUUGUCUCCGACGAGGAAGGAGAGAAAGGCAGUCAAGAUUGCACUAAAGAAGCAAUAGAAGAAGACAAUUACAAGCUCAGCCCUGCAUCUCUUAAGGAGGAAUGCCUGCAAAUUAUAUGACAGAAGAAACUAGGUCAAAUGAUUACAAUCUUAAUCUUCUUCAUAUAACAAACCUUAACUGUAUUUAUUAUAGAAACAGUUAAUGAAUUGGGUUGGGUUGGGUUAUAGAAACUAGACCUGCAUGAUAAUAUAGGCGGAGGCAGCCAGACAGUUAACCGUGAGGAGCAAUCCUCCUGCUAUGUAAUCAUAGUUUUGCACCAUUAGAAGGGAAGGACCCUUGUAUAGAGUUAAGACAAGAGCCCCUAUAAUCAACACCACAGUUCCUAUGGACUUGGCCAGAGUGCUUUUUCUCUUAAGAUCCGCUUCUUCCAUCCUGAUCCAUUAUCUUUCAUUAAUUUCUAACUCAAUUUCUGAAAUCUGAGACCCUUAUAAUCCCCUCAUUCAUCACAUAUAUGAGAAAUGAUCAACAAGGACUAGAGAAGAACCUGAAGAUAACUGCGAGUACAAAGGUAAAAGCGGGGAUGAGAGUAAGCAUGGAUGAGGAAAAUGACACUGGAGUUAUUUGUAUUCCGGCAUUGCCAACCACUUGUAUUAAGCAGCUUAUAAGAACACAAUAUCACAUCAGCAAAUUAAGCAAUCCAUGUUAAUCCUGAUUGAUAUUAUUAAUAAAAUGCAUCAUACUUAUACUUACCCAACAGCUCCAAGCAAGAAGAAGUUCCACAGAAGAGAGAAUGUUAUCCGGGGGAGGUUUGAUCUGCAAACAUCAAGCACCAAGGAAGAAAGAAAGGCGGAUUCAUGGGUGAUCAAUCUGUAUAUUUGAAAUUAAUAAUAGGAAAAACCUGUGAAGAAGAAAGGAAAGAGGGAGAAGCAGGAGUGAGGCAAGGGCAUUGGAAUAGGUGACGAAGGCGUAUUUGGUCAUUCCAUUUGAUGUGGCUUCUUUUAUCGCUAUAACCAGACUCACCUGCAUAAGCUCAGGCCAAGAGUUUGUGAGUUGGAGCUUUCUUUAAAGAGCAAAACAAAAACU